rnacentral:rRNA from 1 species
UACGUAGGGGGGCAAGCGUUGUCCGGAUUUAUUGGGCGUAAAGAGCGUGUAGGCGGCCAUACAGGUCCGUUGUGAAAACUGGAGGCUUAACCUCCAGACGUCGAUGGAAACCGUAUGGCUAGAGUCCGGAAGAGGAGAGUGGAAUUCCUGGUGUAGCGGUGAAAUGCGCAGAUAUCAGGAAGAACACCCGUGGCGAAGGCGGCUCUCUGGGACGGUACUGACGCUGAGACGCGAAAGCGUGGGGAGCGAGCAGG